AUGAACGCUAGCUACAGGCUUAACACAUGCAAGUCGAGGGGCAGCAUCAUCAAAGCUUGCUUUGAUGGAUGGCGACCGGCGCACGGGUGAGUAACACGUAUCCAACCUGCCGACAACACUGGGAUAGCCUUUCGAAAGAAAGAUUAAUACCGGAUGGCAUAGUUUUCCCGCAUGGGAUAAUUAUUAAAGAAUUUCGGUUGUCGAUGGGGAUGCGUUCCAUUAGGCAGUUGGCGGGGUAACGGCCCACCAAACCAACGAUGGAUAGGGGUUCUGAGAGGAAGGUCCCCCACAUUGGAACUGAGACACGGUCCAAACUCCUACGGGAGGCAGCAGUGAGGAAUAUUGGUCAAUGGACGAGAGUCUGAACCAGCCAAGUAGCGUGAAGGAUGACUGCCCUAUGGGUUGUAAACUUCUUUUAUACGGGAAUAAAGUGAGCCACGUGUGGCUUUUUGUAUGUACCGUAUGAAUAAGGAUCGGCUAACUCCGUGCCAGCAGCCGCGGUAAUACGGAGGAUCCGAGCGUUAUCCGGAUUUAUUGGGUUUAAAGGGAGCGUAGGCGGGUUGUUAAGUCAGUUGUGAAAGUUUGCGGCUCAACCGUAAAAUUGCAGUUGAUACUGGCGACCUUGAGUGCAACAGAGGUAGGCGGAAUUCGUGGUGUAGCGGUGAAAUGCUUAGAUAUCACGAAGAACUCCGAUUGCGAAGGCAGCUUACUGGACUGUAACUGACGCUGAUGCUCGAAAGUGUGGGUAUCAAACAGGAUUAGAUACCCUGGUAGUCCACACAGUAAACGAUGAAUACUCGCUGUUGGCGAUAUACAGUCAGCGGCCAAGCGAAAGCAUUAAGUAUUCCACCUGGGGAGUACGCCGGCAACGGUGAAACUCAAAGGAAUUGACGGGGGCCCGCACAAGCGGAGGAACAUGUGGUUUAAUUCGAUGAUACGCGAGGAACCUUACCCGGGCUUAAAUUGCAACUGACGGAAUCGGAAACGGUUCUUUCUUCGGACAGUUGUGAAGGUGCUGCAUGGUUGUCGUCAGCUCGUGCCGUGAGGUGUCGGCUUAAGUGCCAUAACGAGCGCAACCCUUAUCGAUAGUUACUAGCAGGUCAUGCUGAGGACUCUAUUGAGACUGCCGUCGUAAGAUGUGAGGAAGGUGGGGAUGACGUCAAAUCAGCACGGCCCUUACGUCCGGGGCUACACACGUGUUACAAUGGGGGGUACAGAAGGCAGCUACACGGCGACGUGGUGCUAAUCCCAAAAGCCUCUCUCAGUUCGGAUUGGAGUCUGCAACCCGACUCCAUGAAGCUGGAUUCGCUAGUAAUCGCGCAUCAGCCACGGCGCGGUGAAUACGUUCCCGGGCCUUGUACACACCGCCCGUCAAGCCAUGAAAGCCGGGGGUACCUGAAGUACGUAACCGCGAGGAGCGUCCUAGGGUAAAACUGGUGAUUGGGGCU
rnacentral:rRNA from 1 species